rnacentral:rRNA from 1 species
CGGUAAUUCCAGCUCCAAUAGCGUAUACUAAAGUUGUUGCAGUUAAAAAGCUCGUAGUUGGAUUUCUGCGGGGACGGAGCGGCCGGUCGCAACUUGCGACUCGAGCUAGCGCUUUCCCCGCAUCCUGCCGCGAACCGUGCUACCAUUAGCUUGGUGGCGCUGGGGAUCGGCUCGAUUACUUUGAGAAAAAUAGAGUGUUCAAAGCAGGCCACACGCCUUGAAUAAGUUAGCAUGGAAUGAUGACUAAGGACUUCGGUUCUAUUUUGUUGGUGUUCGGGACUGAAGUAAUGAUUGAUAGGGACAGUUGGGGCGGUCUGUAUUCCAAAGCGAGAGGUGAAAUUCUUAGACCUUCGGAAGACAAACAGCUGCGAAAGCGUUCCGCAAGGAUGUUCCCUUUGAUCAAGAACGAAAGUUGGGGGAUCGAAGACGAUCAGAUACCGUCGUAGUCUCAACUAUAAACUAUACCAGCUAGGGAUCGGUCAACGUUUAAUCAUUCGACUUGAUCGGCACCUUAUGAGAAAUCAAAGCAUCUGGGUUCCGGGGGGAGUAUGGUCGCAAGGCUGAAACUUAAAGGAAUUGACGGAAGGGCACCACCAGCCGUGGAGCCUGUGGCUUAAUUUGACUCAACACGGGAAAACUUACCAGGUCCAGACAUAGUAAGGAUUGACAGAUUGAUAGCUCUUUCUUGAUUCUGUGGGUGGUGGUGCAUGGCCGUUCUUAGUUGGUGGAGUGAUUUGUCUGGUUAAUUCCGUUAACGAACGAGACCCCAGCCUGCUAAAUAGCGCGGUUGAGCUUUGCUCGAUGCGAGCUUCUUAGAGGGACUAUGAUGCGCGAUAGCACAUGGAAGUUUGGGGCAAUAACAGGUCUGUGAUGCCCUUAGAUGCUCUGGGCCGCACACGGGCUACACUGGCGCCUGCAACGAGCAUAUCAGCUGGCCCGAGAGGGUCUUGGCUAAUCUUUUGAACCGACGCCGUGCUUGGGAUUGACCAUUGCAAUUGUUGGUCAUGCAACGAGGAAUGCCUUGUAAACGCGAGUCAUCAGCUCGCAUUGAAUACGUCCCUGCCCUUUGUACACACCGCCCGUCGCUCCUACCGAUGAAUGUUCCGACGAAAUUUUCGGAGAGCGCCAGAGAACGGGGCUCUGCCUUGCAGAUCUGGAGGCUCAAAGUCACUUAAAUCUGAACAUUUCGAGGAAGGAGAAGUCGUAACAAGGUAGCCG